AACGUAGGUGGCAAGCGUUAUCCGGAUUUACUGGGCGUAAAGGGUGUGCAGGCGGGGGUGCAAGGGGUGGAUGAAAUCUCCCGGCUUAACCGGGAGGGGUUAUGCCAGACUGCAAUUCUAGAGGACGAGAGAGGGGGGUGGAAUUCCGGGUGUAGUGGUGAAAUGCGUAGGGAUCCGGAGGAACCCCAGAGGCGAAGGCGGCCCCCUGGCUCGUACCUGACGCUCAGCCACGAAAGCAUGGGGAGCGAACGGG
rnacentral:rRNA from 1 species